UUUAAAGUGCCUGAUUAAAAGGAAAGUUUUGAUAGAACUUGCAUGCCUAACUAAUACUUUAGGCCUUUAAAU
rnacentral:tRNA from 1 species